GAUGAACGCUGGCGGCGUGCCUAAUACAUGCAAGUCGAGCGAACGGACGCGACGCUUGCUUCUCUGACGUUAGCGGCGCACGGGUGUGUCACACGUGGAUACCCUCCCUAUCAGUCUGAUAUCAUCUCGGGAAACCGGCGCUAACACCGGGUAAUCUUUUGAACCGCAUGGUUCAAUAGUGAAAGACGGCCUUGCUGUCACUUCUAGCUGCAUCUCCGCUGCAUUGGCUGGUUGGUAAGUUAACGGCCUACCACGGCAACGAUGCCUAGCCGACGUGAGAGGGUGAUCGCCCACAGUGGAACUGAGACGCGGUCCAGACUCCUACGGGAGGGAGCAGUAGGGAAUGGUCGGCAAUGGGCGAAAGCCUGGCGGAGCAACGGGGCGUGAGUGAUGAAGGUCCUCGGAUCGUAAAACUGUGUUAUUAGGGAUGAACAGAUGUGUAAGUAACUGUGCACAUCUUGACGGUACCGAAUCAGAAAGCAACGGCUAACUACGUG
rnacentral:rRNA from 1 species